AGUUUUUCAAUUCAACAAGAAAAACUAUUAUUGGAGUAUUAUCGCAUUAAAAAAAUCUAUAUUAAUAUUAACUGUCAAUUGAAUUAAUACUACAAAGAAAGUAAGUAUUUUUUAAUUAGAAAAAGUCUGUUUAUCAUAACUCAACUUAUAUUAACUUUCUGUAUUACUUAUAAUGCAAAGGUUAUGUAGGGUAAAAGUAAGGAGUUUUCUUUAUAAAAAUUAGUUAUUAAUUACUACAAAUAAAAAACAAUUCACAGCUAAUGGAAUACACAAUAAUUGGAAUUGUGCUUGUUGGUGCCGUUCAAAAUUUAUUGGAAUCUUCAGACGAAGACGAUUCUAGCGAUGAUGAAGAUCUCAUUUAUUGUUUUGGAAAUCGAGCAGGACAAGGUAUUAUUCCAAGAACCCAAGAUUAUGUAGAAAAUACGGUUUUUCGGAUGACUUUCAAAAGUCAUUUUCGUAUGAGACGAGAUACUUUUGAAUUUCUGAUAAAUUUACUGGGACCGGACUUGCAAAAACAAUCUGUCCACUUUGGUAGACAUCCUAUUCCUGUCGAAAAACAGCUUCUCCUGAGUAUUUGGACCAUGGCAACACCAGAUUCCUACAGAUCAGUGUGUGAUCGUUUUAAUGUCGGAAAAGCAACAGCUUGGAGAACUGUUUGGAAAGUAGCCAAAUCAAUAUAUAAUUUUCUACCUAUUUACGUAAAAUGGCCUACCCGUGAAGAAGCAAGUAUAACAUCAAAUCAUAUGUAUCGAAAGUACGGAUUUCCUAAUGUAUUGGGAGCGGUCGAUGGAACACAUAUAAGAAUUGCUCAACCGAAAGAACAUCAGGCCAGCUAUAUUAACCGCAAAGGAUUUCAUUCUCUACAAACUCAGCUAGUAUGUGAUCACAAGUUAAAAAUUAUUCAUGCGUACUGUGGUCAAGCAGGCUCAGUUCAUGACGCUCGUGUUUUCCGGUUGUCAAAUUUACAAAAUUAUUGCACACCUGAAUUUUUCCCAUUUGUUAGGAGAUAAAGCUUACAGUAUUCAACCUUGUAUAAUGGUACCUUAUCGAAAUAAUGGUAACUUGAAUGAAGAUUCGGUGCGAUACAAUAAGAUACAUUCAAGUGCUCGUAUAUGAUAGAACGAACAAAU